rnacentral:lncRNA from 1 species
UUUACAGGGGAUUCUCAUUGACUUGUUUCGUUUAGGAAUCAGAUCAUCAAUGAGUCAUAUCCUUUCCUGAUUCGGAUCUAUCUGAUCCACCUAUUUAAUUUGUUUUUUUUCUGCCGUUGAUCUAUAUGAUUUUUAUCUGUUUGCCUGGAGGGAUCAAACGAUGGACAAUAAUCGUGACUUCAACACUUCCAGAUUCAGCUAAAUCUGAGUUUUUGGGCUAACUAUCAAUUUUUGCAUUGUUCUUUUCAUCUUUUGUAUUCGGCAACCCAAACGGAAGGACACGAUAUGGCAGUGGACUCUUUUGGCUUUUGAUACAUUGUUUGUUUGUUGUUUCCUUUAACUGAAGCCAACGCGGUAA